AAUUUGGAGGGGACAAAAACAUUUCAACCGUAGCACCAUUUGUCUCCUUUGCUGCUAUUGGAGGGAGAGUCCCAAUUUCUCAUUAGUUUAUGCAGCUUGCUGCUUAGUAAUGACUUAUCAAUGACAGUUGAAACUUGUAGUUGUAUUUGAUGAAGGAAAUAUGCACAUUUCUUUAUAGCACUUAGUUUUUUGCUUUGUUUUUCUACUUUAUUAACAUGCAGGCAAAGUGGGAGUGUUUAUUUUUAAAGAAGCUUUGAGCAUUAGACAUGUUUUAAAUCUAUUUCUUCGUUUAAUAUCAGUUGUCUUCUAAGAAGUGUUUCUCAUCAAAAUGGAAACAAUAAGGCUUAGAUAUUUAAGAUAAAAUAGGAACCCACGAGUCUGCUUUCUCAGUUUUUACAUUGAGACAAUGCCUCCACAAAUACUUGAUGCAAAAUUCAGUAAGACAGCACUUGUUGAAUCACCAUUAUAGUUUCUGACAAAUUGUUCUCAAAAAGGUACCAGCUGGAGGAUGAGUCUGCGCAUUUGGAUGAAAUGCCACUAAUGAUGUCUGAAGA
rnacentral:lncRNA from 10 species